AUAUACAACUUUCAGCAACGGAUCUCUUGGCUCUCGCAUCGAUGAAGAACGCAGCGAAAUGCGAUAAGUAAUGUGAAUUGCAGAAUUCAGUGAAUCAUCGAAUCUUUGAACGCACCUUGCGCUCCUUGGUAUUCCGAGGAGCAUGCCUGUUUGAG
rnacentral:rRNA from 1 species